rnacentral:rRNA from 1 species
AUACCAAGAAAAUUGAGUCAUACAUUUUAUGGUAAAAGACAGUUAGAUAUAUAGUUAUUUGUUUUGAGGUCAAUUUAAUGCUCUGCAUAGAGGUAAAAUUUAAGUGUGGUUGUAUAGUUUAUUAGUUACCUAUAAAUUGAAUCUGUGAAAUCCUUUAGGGAAACUGGGAUUAGGUACCCCAUUAUUUUUGGAUAUAAAUUAAGUAGAUUUACCAGAGUACUAUGAAUGUUAAAAAUUUAAAACUCAAAGAACUUGGCGGUGUUUUAGACCACUCAGGGGAACCUGUUUCAUAAUCGAUAAUCCACGUUAUACCUGACCUUUUUUUGUUAUCAGUUUGUAUACCGUUGUCGUCAGGUAACUUUUUAGAAAUUAGAAGUUAGCAGUGGAAAUUUGAUAAUUUAGUACGUCAAAUCAAGGUGCAGCUAAUAAAAGGGGGAGAAUGGGUUACAAUUAUAUAUUUAUAAUACGGAAAAGUGUGUGAAAAUACAUUAGUUUAAGGCGGACUUGAAAGUAAAUUAUGAUAUAUGAAUAGUUUGAAUGAGGCUCUGAAACGUGU